rnacentral:lncRNA from 1 species
CUGGGGCGCGCGCCUCGCCUCGCACCCCCACCCCGACCCUCCAAGCUCCGCGGGGCCCGCCGAGCCGCCGAGGCCGUGUGCCGGCCCGCUGAGCGGUUCCGGGGGUAGGGUUCACAGGUCAGAGUUGACUCCCUGAAAAGUGCAGCCGGUUUGAAAUGCAAGAUGGCGGCGGCGGGGCGCUGAGAGGCGCGGCGGCCCCUGCAGGAGAUGGCAGAUAGAUACUUUGGACCUGUUGGUAAUGAUGGCCUGAGCUAAACACCUCCUAAUUUGAAGGGACACCCUUCCAUGUCAAAGAAAAUGCUGAGGAAGCUGUGGCAAGUGAUUGGCGUUAUACUUCAAAAAUUUCAGCAGUUCAGCAGUAUUUUAUCUGCCAACAACAAGCUCUUUACUUGAUUGCACCAUGAAAAAGCUGCUAAUGAGACUUGUUGAGCACAAAAAUGGACUUGAAGAACCAAAAGCCAUUGUUUUCAAAUGAAGAAUACUGAACAGUUUUAAGCCUCAAUGUUUUUUAAUAAUCACCACUGAG